rnacentral:rRNA from 1 species
GGUGAUUCAUAGUAGCCGAACGGAUCGCAUUAUAAUUAUCAUUAUUUGAUGAUUGGCGAUAGAUCAUUCAAGUUUUUGACCUAUCAGCUUUCGACGGUAGUGUAUUGGACUACCGUGGCAGUGACGGGUAACGGGGAAUUAGGGUUCGAUUCCGGAGAGGGAGCCUGAGAAACGGCUACCACAUCUAAGGAAGGCAGCAGGCGCGCAAAUUACCCAAUCCUGACUCAGGGAUGUAGUGACAAGAAAUAACAACACUGGAAAUUUGAUUUCUAGUGAUUGGAAUGAUGGGAAUCCAAACCCCUUUCAGAGUAACAAUUGGAGGGCAAGUCUGGUGCCAGCAGCCGCGGUAAUUCCAGCUCCAAUAGCGUAUAUUAAAGUUGUUGCAGUUAAAAAGCUCGUAGUUGGAUGUCUGUUGGAAGCAAUCAUCAGUCCGCCCUAUUUGAUUAGGGUGUGAAUAUGAUGAAUUCCGGCAUAAUUGUCUCCCUAUUGUUAAUAUUCUGAUUGUUAGAUUCAUUUCUAACAAUAAUACGAUUAUUAAUAAUAAGGGGGAAAUGUUACUUUGAGAAAAUUAGAGUGUUUGAAGCAGGCUUUUGUUGCCUUGAAUACUGCAGCAUGGAAUAACAAUAUAGGAUUUCGGUUCUAUUUUGUUGGUUCUUUUUUUAGGACUGAAAUAAUGAUUAAUAGGGACAGUUGGGGGCAUUCGUAUUUAACUGUCAGAGGUGAAAUUCUUAGAUUUGUUAAAGACGAACUACUGCGAAAGCAUUUGCCAAAGAUGUUUUCAUUAAUCAAGAACGAAAGUUAGGGGCUCGAAGACGAUCAGAUACCGUCGUAGUCUUAACCAUAAACUAUGCCGAC